AAAUGUGCGCUCAGCACCCCCGGUGGAGUAAUAUUGUAAGAUCUGACAGGCGCCAGCAACACCUGGGCAGAGGAACGCGCCAUUGUGACCUGAACCCUAGGACCAUGCCUCAGGACGACCUGGCCUGAUGACUCCUUGCUGUCCCCAGUCCACUUGGCCGUGCUGCUGCUCCAAUUUCAACUGUUCAGCCUGCGGCUAUGGAACCCUGACCUGUUCACCGGAUGUGCUACCUGUCCCAAACCUGCUGGUUUCAACUCUCUGGAGACAGCAGGAGCGGUAGAGAUACUCAGAAUGAUCGGCUAUGAAAAGCCAACUGACAUUUACUCCUGAGGUGCUGACCUGUUGCACCCUCGACAACCACUAUGAUUAUUAUUAUUUGACCCUGCUGGUCAUCUAUGAACAUUUGAACAUCUUGGCCAUGUUCUGUUAUAAUCUCCACCUGGCACAGCCAGAAGAGGACUGGCCACCUCUCAUAGCCUGGUUCCUCUCUAGGUUUCUUCCUAGGUUCUGGCUUUUCAAGGGAGUUUUUCCUAGCCACUGUGCUUCUACACCUACAUUGCUUGCUGUUUGGGGUUUUAGGCUGGAUUUCUGUACAGCACUUUGAGACAUCAGCUGAUGUAAGAAGGGCUUUAUAAAUUGAUUUGAUUUGACCUUCUUAGUGAAAAAAACUGGACAUUUGUAAAUAAAAAAAUAACAAUAAUAAUAAUAUGUAAAUAAAAAAAGUUUUAUCUAUAAAAAUUUUAAAAAGAAAUAGUUGUGUUGGAUAACUGUUCCACUCUCCUUGUAAUAGCAAUCCUAAAUUAGCUCAGGUGUAACCGAUUACCUUCAAAAUCACACCAAGUUAAUUAAUUGGCUUCCAUCUGUGUUAAAUUGUAGUGAUUCACAUGAUUUCAGGAUAAAUUCAGCAGUUCCUGUAGGUGCCUCUGCUGGGUAGUGAAUUGCAAAGCAAACAUGAAACAUCAAGGAGCUUUCAAAAGAACUCGGGGACAAAGUUGUGGAAAGGCACAGAUUGGUAUAAAAAAAGGCCUUGAAUAUCCCUUGGAGCACAGUCAAGACAAUUAUUAAGAAGUAGAAUGUGUAUGGCACUACCUAGACCAAGCCGUCCCUCCAAACUGGAUGACCGAGCAAGUAGGAGACUGAUCAGAGGGGCUACCAAGAGUCCAAUGGCAACUUUCUUAUUUUAUGGUAUUACAGCGGUCUGCAAAUAAGCCAACGGCAACUUUGAAAGAGCUACAAGCUUUUAUGGCUAAGACUAGUCAAAGUGUGCAUGUGACAAUAUCCCAAAGCACUCCACAAAUUUGGCAUGUAUGGUACAGUGGCAAGAAGGAAGCCAUUACUCAAGAAAGCCCACCUUGAAUCCUGUUUUUAAGUAUGCAAAAAGAUACUAAUUCUGUAUCCAUGUGAAACAAGUUGUGGUCUGACAAAAUUGAACUUCUUGGUCUAAAUGCAAAGCAUUACGUUUGGUCGCAAACCUAACACGGUACAUCACCUAACGAAUACCAUCCUUACUGUGAAGCAUGGUGGUGGCAGCAUCAUGUUAUGGGGAUGUUUCUCAUCGUUAAGGUCUUAUCCAGAUAGAAGGGGAAAAGCCAGACAUUUUGCUUGUUUGUAGGUGACCAAAUACUUAUUUUCCACCAUAAUUAGCAAAUAAAUUCAUUAAAAAUACUACAAUGUGA